rnacentral:rRNA from 1 species
AUUGAACGCUGGCGGCAGGCCUAACACAUGCAAGUCGAACGAGUGGCGGACGGGUGAGUAAUGUCUGGGAAACUGCCUGAUGGAGGGGGAUAACUACUGGAAACGGUAGCUAAUACCGCAUACCAUCGGAUGUGCCCAGAUGGGAUUAGCUAGUAGGUGGGGUAAAGGUGCACCAAGGCGACGAUCCAUAGCUGGUCUGAGAGGAUGACCGGCCACACUGGAACGGAACCACGGUCCAGAAUCCUACGGGAGGCAGCAGUGGGGAAUAUUGCACAAUGGGCGCAAGCCUGAUGCAGCCAUGCCGAGUGUAUGAAGAAGGCCUUCGGGUUGUAAAGUACUUUCAGCGGGGAGGCGUUACCCGCAGAAGAAGCACCGGCUAACUCCGUGCCAGCAGCCGCGGUAAUUC